rnacentral:rRNA from 1 species
AUGCCUUACACAUGCAAGUCGGACGGCAGCACGGGGGCAACCCUGGUGGCGAGUGGCGAACGGGUGAGUAAUACAUCGGAACGUGUCCUGGAGUGGGGGAUAGCCCGGCGAAAGCCGGAUUAAUACCGCAUACGCUCUGUGGAGGAAAGCGGGGGAUCUUCGGACCUCGCGCUCAAGGGGCGGCCGAUGGCAGAUUAGCUAGUUGGUGGGGUAAAGGCCUACCAAGGCGACGAUCUGUAGCUGGUCUGAGAGGACGACCAGCCACACUGGGACUGAGACACGGCCCAG